rnacentral:lncRNA from 10 species
AUAAGAACCUCUUCCCCUCCCUUGUCCAAGUGUGUGCUCACCAUUGCUCCAUAUGCAAGGGCACAUGCUUCUAUAGAAGUACAUUGCCUUGCGAGAAUUACAAAGAAAAUUUUAUAUUGGAGUGAUAUUUCUUUUGUGGCACCAAAACUUUAUUUAUAACAAUUUGGGGGCUCAUCCAGGAUUACAUUCCCCUCCGAGGGUGAUCUCUGGUCCUCUCUUGCAAGCAGGCUUGCUCCGCCCCCUUGUGGCAGCCUCAGGGGUGAGAAAUCAGGACCCACCCAGUGCAAGAUAUAACUUGAGCUCUCAGCAAUGCAGAAAGAAACUCCCUAGCAACCUAGCUGCAGGAAUGACUCUGUGCACAGAUCAAGAAAGGAGAAGCCACGGGAGCUGCACAAAAUGGAUUAAGACAUCUCUCCUGGUACUUAUGCUUUCUUGGAGGAGGAGGUAAUAUGGGAGAAAUGAAAAAUUUUUUAAAAGCAAUUUUCUAAGCAAAAAGGAAUCAACACUUGAUGAUUUGGAAAACCAUCAGCCCAUCCAGAUAGCGUAGCCUCAAAACAAAGUCUAAGGUCUGACCUUAAGAAAAUAGGACCUUCCAUUUUCUAGCUCCUGGAACACUUCCACUUAGCACCCAGCCAUCAGACUGUGUAUGAGGAGAGGAACUGAGACCUGCAGACCAAUAACCUAAGCUGAACUCGCAGCUGAAAGCUAACCCACCUCUAAUGGACUCUCCACUCAAAAUCCAGAUUAGUGAACCAAAUAUAUGACUGUUGUUUUUAAGCCACUAUGUUUUAGCAUGGUAUGUUACACACCAAUAGAUAACUAAAACUGUUCUCUCACCAUCUCAACAUCCUCUUCAUAUUUUCUAAAUAAUAAAAUAUGCCAUUUGAUUUUACAAGAAACAAAUGUUAGAUGGCAGGGCUGAAGUUAAAUGGGAACCUAAUGUUCACAACGACUAACAGAUUUGUAAAUUGAGCUUAUAUGUCUACAUCAAAGUUCUCAAUCUUUAUUUAUGCUAUAGUUUAAAGCAUGACUAUACUUUUCAGCUGACUCUCUUGAAAAGUGGAGUAUAAUUAAUAUAUUGAUACCUGGAUAUAUUAUAUUUUAGUUCAUGAUUCCAUUUAGUCCUGAAAAAUAGAAGGCAUUGUCAUUUUGUAGACAUCUCCUUGAUAUAUUUGUGUUAGAGUUAACUCAAUUUUUUAAAUGUAAGAUUUAACUCUAUGACACUAAUCACCUGUCAUCAGUCACUGACUAUAGUUCAAUAUCAUUUGAGUCACCAAGGCUAAGAUAUACCAGAUAACUGUUUCAGUACAGGUGAUUUGCAUUUAUCAUCUAAGAGCUUAUAAGAACCUCCUCUCACUAAAAUAUCAGAGGUCUAACUUUUACCCCCUUCCUCACAUCAAAAGCAUAAAACGCUGAGAUAUAUAAAGAGGAGAUUUCAGGGAGUUUGAGAACUUACUCAAAUGAUGUAACUCAUUUGACAAAUGACUUGCUUCAUGCAUCUUUUAGAUAGCUAAGUCCAAUUAGCUAAAAUUAUAGUUGAAUUGAAUAUGUAAAUAUCUAUAAAGUUGGCCUAAUUAGAUCCAUAGGGUGGUGUAGCAUCUGUGUUUAAAGCCCAGCAAUUGUGAAGAGGUUUUGGUUGCAAGCUUAGGGGAGGCUGUGAAGACUGGCAAGUCUAAGUCCUCCCGUGGAAUCUGAGAUUUCACAGGUAGUAUCUGAGGAUGGGUGUGAGAUUACUGCUCAAGCCAGAAAGAUUAACAGCUGCCUCAAUGGGAAUAAGAGUCACUAGGAAAUUUGAUUCUAUCAUUCCUGAAUCCAAGGUGGCGUUAACAAGCUUAUUAUGUAAGAAAGCAGCCUCUGUUACUAAUCUAAGCUGUAUCUGUUUUUCUGCUUACGCCUAUGAACCAGAACAUAAGAAGUAGUAGAACAAAUGAUAUGAAUCUACAAAUUAUGCCACGUAUUUUAAUUCUUCACUAUUUAAAUAAUUAAAAACUAAGUUUUCUUCUAAAUGUGUCACAUAGUAUAGAUUUUCUAGGGUGCACUUAAGAAAUUUGGUGUACUCAAGAUGAUCAACCUGUCUCAAAAUAAACUUAGAUUUUUUGAAGACUCUUCUGUUAAAUUGGACUUUGACCAUCACUGACACUUAUUUUGACCUUAUAAUACCAUAAAUAUGUACCCUUGAUCAAGACUCCAGCUGAUAGACCCUUAGCAUAGAUACAUAAAAAUAAUAAACCUUAUCUGAACAUCUGUUUUAAGUCAGCUUUUGCUGUGGAAGCUGUUACAAUUACAAAUUAUUUCCAUUUGAUUUCACUGAAAUUCAAUUAACUUCGAGCAAAAAUUAGCAACACUAAUUUUUAAAUAAGGAUGGGGUGAAGGUGAUAGUUAUUGUGGAGCAUUGAUAUGAUAGAAGCAGUGAGGGUAGAAAAUGUGUGAACGUUAAAUGCCUUUAUUACUCAUUUUACAUUUCAUCAGGUAUCAGAUGGCAUGAAAAUACGCUGUCUUGGUCUAUUUUCUUGCUACCACCCCUAAGAUAUCACAUACUUGGCUGUUUCUUAUUCUAAAACCACAGUCCCUUGGGGGCUAGCUAUUAUUUUAAUGAUCAGAGUGAUGAUGAGUCUCUGAAUACCUUAAGGUUUGUAUACUAAGGAUUAUCUCAAUUUAGCUAACAUAAGCUCUAUGAAUGUGUUGCAUAUAAAAUCAUUUUAUCUAAGGCCACAUAUUCUCAAAAGACAUAUUAUGUUGUAUUUUACACCUGAUGCAUUUACAGUUACCACUAACAAGCAAGAAAAAAAUCUCCUCUACAGAGUUUGAAGUAUAUAUUUUUAAAUUAUUGUUGCUUCUAAAAAUACAAAAAUAGAUUUGGAGGUUGAUAUUUUUGGCAGGGGCUCUGAAUAUUUUCAUGUGGAAGUCAGCAACCUAAUAAGCCUGACUUACUGAGUGGAUCAGUGGGUUGUAAUUCUGGUAACUUAUUUUUUAACUAGCUUGAGGCUAGGUCUAUCUCAAUUAUGCUUCAGGUUGUAUAAUAGAUUAUAUGGCAUAUUCAAUAAAGUUGAUAUUGUAUUAAACACAGUAGAGACAAUUAAUGAAUAUUUUUUUCUCGUGAGUUGAUAUUUUAAAAAGAGUUAAUUAUGUAGAAUUUUUUGAAAGGCUUUAUUCAAUAGGACUCAAUACCGGUCUGAUCAUCAUCCUACGAUAAUGGGAUAUGGGUCACAGCAGGGAGAAAAUCAAUAGUGCUGAUGGGCUAUUUUAUUUAAAUCUCAAGCAGUUUUCUCUUCAUAAUAAGAAGAUGUUUUCCAAUUAAAUUGUAAAUUUGAACUAAUAUAUUGUUUUAUAUAAGAUACUUUAUAACUUA